rnacentral:rRNA from 1 species
UACGGAGGGUGCAAGCGUUAAUCGGAAUUACUGGGCGUAAAGCGCACGCAGGUGGCUGAGUCAGUCGAUUGUGAAAGCCCUGGGCUUAACCUGGGAAUUGCAGUCGAUACUACUCAGCUAGAGUAUGGGAGAGGGUAGUGGAAUUCCCGGUGUAGCGGUGAAAUGCGUAGAUAUCGGGAGGAACAUCAGUGGCGAAGGCGGCUACCUGGCCCAAUACUGACGCUCAUGUGCGAAAGCGUGAGGAGCAAACAGG